GGAAAGUCGCACGGUACAGGGUGAUAGUCCCGUACACAAAAAUGCAUAUGUUGUGAGUUCGAUGAGUAGGGCGGGACACGUGACAUCCUGUCUGAAUAUGGGGGGACCAUCCUCCAAGGCUAAAUACUCCUGACUGACCGAUAGUGAACCAGUACCGUGAGGGAAAGGCGAAAAGAACCCCGGCGAGGGGAGUGAAAUAGAACCUGAAACCGUGUACGUACAAGCAGUGGGAGCACCUUCGUGGUGUGACUGCGUACCUUUUGUAUAAUGGGUCAGCGACUUAUAUUUUGUAGCAAGGUUAACCGAAUAGGGGAGCCGUAGGGAAACCGAGUCUUAACUGGGCGAAUAGUUGCAAGGUAUAGACCCGAAACCCGGUGAUCUAGCCAUGGGCAGGUUGAAGGUUGGGUAACACUAACUGGAGGACCGAACCGACUAAUGUUGAAAAAUUAGCGGAUGACUUGUGGCUGGGGGUGAAAGGCCAAUCAAACCGGGAGAUAGCUGGUUCUCCCCGAAAGCUAUUUAGGUAGCGCCUCGUGAACUCAUCUUCGGGGGUAGAGCACUGUUUCGGCUAGGGGGUCAUCCCGACUUACCAAACCGAUGCAAACUCCGAAUACCGAAGAAUGUUAUCACGGGAGACACACGGCGGGUGCUAACGUCCGUCGUGAAGAGGGAAACAACCCAGACCGCCAGCUAAGGUCCCAAAGUCAUGGUUAAGUGGGAAACGAUGUGGGAAGGCAUAGACAGCCAGGAUGUUGGCUUAGAAGCAGCCAUCAUUUAAAGAAAGCGUAAUAGCUCACUGGUCGAGUCGGCCUGCGCGGAAGAUGUAACGGGGCUAAACCAUGCACCGAAGCUGCGGCAGCGACGCUUAGGCGUUGUUGGGUAGGGGAGCGUUCUGUAAGCCGUUGAAGGUGACCUGUGAGGGUUGCUGGAGGUAUCAGAAGUGCGAAUGCUGACAUAAGUAACGAUAAUGCGGGUGAAAAACCCGCACGCCGGAAGACCAAGGGUUCCUGUCCAACGUUAAUCGGGGCAGGGUGAGUCGACCCCUAAGGCGAGGCUGAAAAGCGUAGUCGAUGGGAAACAGGUUAAUAUUCCUGUACUUGGUGUUACUGCGAAGGGGGGACGGAGAAGGCUAGGCUAGCCGGGCGACGGUUGUCCCGGUUUAAGCAUGUAGGCGGAGUGACUUGGUAAAUCCGGUUGCUUAUCAACGCUGAGGUGUGAUGACGAGCCACUACGGUGGUGAAGUAGUUGAUGCCAAGCUUCCAGGAAAAGCCUCUAAGCAUCAGGUAACAUUAAAUCGUACCCCAAACCGACACAGGUGGUCAGGUAGAGAAUACUCAGGCGCUUGAGAGAACUCGGGUGAAGGAACUAGGCAAAAUGGUGCCGUAACUUCGGGAGAAG
rnacentral:rRNA from 1 species